UACGUAGGGUGCGAGCGUUAAUCGGAAUUACUGGGCGUAAAGCGUGCGCAGGCGGUUCGUUGUGUCGGCGGUGAAAUCCCCGGGCUCAACCUGGGAAUGGCCGUUGAAACUGGCGAACUGGAGUGUGGCAGAGGGGGGUGGAAUUCCGCGUGUAGCAGUGAAAUGCGUAGAGAUGCGGAGGAACACCGAUGGCGAAGGCAGGUCUCUGGGCUGACACUGACGCUCAUGCACGAAAGCGUGGGGAGCAAACAGG
rnacentral:rRNA from 1 species